rnacentral:lncRNA from 1 species
UGAGACUUCUUAGUCCCAUUUAACUAAAGAUAACGUCCACGGUAGGGUUUACUCUAUAUAUUAGGUCUGUACAUCCUCUCUCAUGACAUCCGGUAAGCCCUUUUAAUUAAUAGCGUUGCUUUAGACAUACAAGUUUCUAUUACAUCUAACCACCAAUAAUGUAUAAAACUCAUAUUUUGCAAUUAUAAUAAAACAAAAU